rnacentral:rRNA from 1 species
CCUACGGGAGGCAGCAGUGAGGAAUAUUGGUCAAUGGACGAGAGUCUGAACCAGCCAAGUAGCGUGAAGGAUGACUGCCCUAUGGGUUGUAAACUUCUUUUAUAUGGGAAUAAAAUGUUCCACGUGUGGGCUUUUGUAUGUACCAUAUGAAUAAGGAUCGGCUAACUCCGUGCCAGCAGCCGCGGUAAUACGGAGGAUCCGAGUGUUAUCCGGAUUUAUUGGGUUUAAAGGGAGCGUAGGUGGAUUGUUAAGUCAGUUGUGAAAGUUUGCGGCUCAACCGUAAAAUUGCAGUUGAAACUGGCAGUCUUGAGUACAGUAGAGGUGGGCGGAAUUCGUGGUGUAGCGGUGAAAUGCUUAGAUAUCACGAAGAACUCCGAUUGCGAAGGCAGCUCACUGGACUGCAACUGACACUGAGGCUCGAAAGUGUGGGUAUCAAACAGGAUUAGAUACCCGAGUAGUC